AGCGGAGGAAAAGAAAAUAACAAUGAUUCCCUCAGUAACGGCGAGCGAAGAGGGAUAAGCUCAAAUUUUAAAUCUGUUGGGUUCCACUUAACAGAGUUGUAUUUUGAAGAAACGUUUUCUGCGUCCAGGAUUAGCCUAAAUCCUUUGGGAUAAGGUAUCAUGGAGGGUGAGAAUCCCGUUCAUGGUUAAUCUUAAGGAAGCUCUACGAUACGUUUUCCAAGAGUCGAGUUGUUUGGGAUUGCAGCUCAAAAUGGGAGGUAAAUUUCUCCUAAGGCUAAAUAUUGGCGAGAGACCGAUAGCGAACAAGUACCGUGAGGGAAAGAUGAAAAGAACUUUGAAAAGAGAGUUAAACAGUACGUGAAAUUGUUGAAAGGGAAACGAUUGAAGUCAGUCAUACCAACGGGAAAUCAACCUUUUGAGCUCGGUCUCGUGGGUUUUGAAGAGUUUCAAAGCCUUCGGAUUCGCGGGAUUGGGAUCUCUUGGUGUACUUUUUCGUACGGUUAGUCAACAUCGGUUUUGAAUGUCAUAAAAUGACUGGAGGAAUGUAGCUUCGAUCUCGUAUUGAAGUGUUAUAGCCUUUGGUAGAUGUGAUGUUUGAGACCGAGGAUUGCAACGGAUACCCUUCAGGGCUAUUCGUCUGAUCUCUGAUACGUUGCCUUGAUGUUGAAAGCUUGCUUAUGAUGUUAGGGUAUUACGGUCAAAAGGUUNGAACGAAUUACAUUCGUUAAGGAUGUUGACGUAAUGACUUUAAACGACCCGUCUU
rnacentral:rRNA from 1 species